rnacentral:misc_RNA from 1 species
GGAAAGUGGACAUGAAUGUGGAUGUGGGGGCAGUAGCGCUGGCUUGGCAACUGCACCCAGUUUUCAAGCGCAUCUGCAUCCGAAGUUGAAAGCUGAUACCGAAUCCUGUGUAAACGACCUUUGAUGUGGGCCUGGUUGGUUGGUUGGUUGGUUGGUUGGCCGUUGGUUUAGUCUCGACUCGUAUUCGCAUUAACGCCAUUAGGCCAAUUUGGCACUUUGCCCUGGCCCCGAAAAGGCGCGCACGGAGAACUUUCACAAACAAAGGUAACAAACGGCGUCAGGAUGUUGCAAUAGCUCUUCUGCUGCGCCACCACCUCGAAAGCCACCCGAGAAGCAGCCAAGAGUCACCCAACUGGCGCGCUCCUCCUGGCCGUUCCACUCCAUGCCACUCACAUGCCAAUGCCCGUGUAAAUAAAAGUCAAGUGAGGAAAACAAAUAAAUUAGAAGCGCAUCCUCCGCUCGUUGGCAACGGGCAUUUCUCUUCGUUAUUGCGCGACUGCCUUUAAUUACGACACCAGGCGGCUGAAAGGAGCUGGAGCUGCUGCUGCAAGGUCCUGCCCAGGGAUUCCCCCACUUUCACCAAUUUCCACUUUCCAGUGCCCCCACGUCUGCCCACUGCCACGUCGUGCUCCGUGCACCGCCGCAGCGCAGCAUCCUCAAUUUAUGUUUAUUUGAAAGCUGUUGCACUUGACUAAUGUCCUCUCCGUCUGUCCUCUCAUCCUGCCACUUAGCGGGAUGCGGCGACAUUCGCAGGCUCUUGGACUUUGGCCAUCUGGUAUUUAAGCCAUCAAAUCCACAUCAUUUUGGCCAGGAGGCUGUUCAGGAUGAGCAAGUGAGUAAGACAAGGACGACUGUACCCCAAACGACUCCAUCAAUAAAGAAAUCGAUCUAUUGAUCCACAAUCCAAGUGGAUCCCUUGCCGUGGACUUCCCGGAAUAAAUUCGAUUGUAAUUGACGGCGCAUUUGAUUUAUUAGUUUUCUCAUUAAACAAAUUGUUGAACAAUGCCGGGCCAAGAACAAUACACUGUGCGACAUUCCAUGCCACACGCACCCAUACUACAUACUACCCACUCGCCCAGCACUUGCGUUUAUUUAUGUAGAUUGAUGGUCAUUCGUGUAAACACAUCCAUUGACGUAAAUUUGAAUAAACAUUUUCAUUAGCAAAAUGUCCAUGAGCCCCCGGAGACAGUCGGAGCUCGAUAUCUGAUGGGCAAUGGACGAUGGACGAUGGUAAUGAUGACCUGGCAAUCACA